UUCCAGACUCCUACGGGAGGCAGCAGUGAGGAAUAUUGGUCAAUGGCCGCAGGGCUGAACCAGCCAAGUCGCGUGAGGGAUGACGGUCCUAUGGAUUGUAAACCUCUUUUGUCAGGGAGCAAAGGGCGCCACGUGUGGCGUUUUGCGAGUACCUGAAGAAAAAGCAUCGGCUAACUCCGUGCCAGCAGCCGCGGUAAUACGGAAGGUCCGGGCGUUAUCCGGAUUUAUUGGGUUUAAAGGGAGCGUAGGCCGGCUUUUAAGUCAGCUGUGAAAGUCCGCGGCUCAACCGUGGAAUUGCAGUUGAAACUGGAGGCCUUGAGUGCACACAGGGAUGCCGGAAUUCAUGGUGUGGCGGUGAAAUGCUUAGAUAUCAUGAAGAACUCCGAUCGCGAAGGCAAGUGUCCGGGGUGCAACUGACGCUGAGGCUCGAAAGUGCGGGUAUCAAACAGGAUUAGAUACCCCCGUAUGG
rnacentral:rRNA from 1 species